rnacentral:rRNA from 1 species
AUUGAACGCUGGCGGCAGGCCUAACACAUGCAAGUCGAGCGGAUGAAGGGAGCUUGCUCCUGGAUUCAGCGGCGGACGGGUGAGUAAUGCCUAGGAAUCUGCCUGGUAGUGGGGGAUAACGUCCGGAAACGGGCGCUAAUACCGCAUACGUCCUGAGGGAGAAAGUGGGGGAUCUUCGGACCUCACGCUAUCAGAUGAGCCUAGGUCGGAUUAGCUAGUUGGUGGGGUAAAGGCCUACCAAGGCGACGAUCCGUAACUGGUCUGAGAGGAUGAUCAGUCACACUGGAACUGAGACACGGUCCAGACUCCUACGGGAGGCAGCAGUGGGGAAUAUGGGACAAUGGGCGAAAGCCUGGUCCAGCCAGGCCGCGUGUGUGAAGAAGGUCUUCGGAUUGUAAAGCACUUUAAGUUGGGAGGAAGGGCAGUAAGUUAAUACCUUGCUGUUUUGACGUUACCAACAGAAUAAGCACCGGCUAACUACGUG